ACAUAAACUUUUUCUAAUGUUUGCAAGAAUGGACCCAGAAUGCAAGAAUUACUGGACCAAACCAUCAAAGCAGGUUUUACCUGAGCCAAUCAGAGGAGGGGACACGCUUAGGACCAGAACAACGGGCUGCAUUCAAAACCAGAAACAUUAUUUGCCAAUAUUAUAACUGGAGCUGGACAUCUUUGGAGCUGAAGAAUGAGGACAGCUUUUGCAUAGUAUCAUGGCAAGUCACAUGUCAGAUCACCUGUCAGGUCAG
rnacentral:lncRNA from 13 species